CUCACCCCACCAAAACCCAACAUGACUAGGAACAUUAUUUCAUUGAUUCUGAUACUGUACUGGAGCCAAGGCACUAUGGGAGGAGAUGAUGUUGUUCAAGAGCCUAAAAUUCUUCAUGCACUAAAAGGGAGUUCAGCCCAAAUCAACUGCACACACAAUAAGGGUUCAACCUACAGACAGAUGUACUGGUACCGCCAGCGUACAGGAGAGACUAUGAGGCUCGUAGUGUUCACUACCUCUUACACCGAUCCAGAAUAUGAAGAUUCGGAGAAAAAUAAAUUUGUGGCCAGUAAAACGGUUCCCGAGAGUGGAUCUCUGACUGUGAAGGAUUUGCAGCCGGAUGACAGCGCCAUAUAUUUCUGUUCAGUGAGUGAAAACACAGUGAACGAAACUCUGGGCAGAGCUGUACAAAAACAGGUGGAUUAA